AGACUUAUCCAGGAUGUUCGGAGGAAGUACUGUCGUAUUGGUGUGUGUGGCCCUGUUCUUGGUAGCCCCAAGUGAAGGAUCUUAUUCCAAUAAUGGAUGUGCCUGUGCUCAAUAUUGGGAUCCUGUGUGUGGUGUAGACGGACAUACGUACUCCAAUACUGGAUGCCUGGCAUGCGCUGGUGUUCCCAUGGCUUGUAAGGGAGAAUGCCCUUGCUACGGACGCUACUAAACAUAACAGAAACAACACUUUAAAGUAAUCUUACCCGUGACCUAAAUAUCUAGUG